AGCGGUACGCGAGCUGGGUUCAGGAACGUCGUGAGACAGUUCGGUCCCUAUCCCGUCGUGGGCGUAGGAAAUUUGAGAGGAGCUGUCCUUAGUACGAGAGGACCGGGAUGGACAUACCUCUGGUGUACCAGUUGUCGUGCCAACGGCAUCGCUGGGUAGCUAUGUAUGGACGGGAUAAGUGCUGAAAGCAUCUAAGCAUGAAGCCCCCCUCAAGAUGAGAUUUCCCAACUUCGGUUAUAAGAUCCCUCAAAGAUGAUGAGGUUAAUAGGUUCGAGGUGGAAGCAUAGCGAUAUGUGGAGCUGACGAAUACUAAUCGAUCGAAGACUUAAUCAA
rnacentral:rRNA from 1 species